ACACACGUGGCUUUGUGGUUAGCACGUUCAUCUCACACCACCAAAGUCGGGGGUUCGAUUCCCACCGUGGCUC